GGGUGCGACCAUACUAGCACUAAUGCACCGGAUCCCAUCAGAACUCCGCAGUUAAGCGUGUUUGGGCGAGAGCAGUACUAAGAUAGGUGACCUCUUGGGAAGUCCAGCCUAUUUGAAGCUA
rnacentral:rRNA from 1 species